AAUAGCCUCGGGAAACUGGGAGUAAUGCCUUAUAAGAUACGUUUGUCGCAUGGCAUUUGUAUUAAACGCUCCGGCGCCAUAGGAUGGACCCGCAUCCCAUUAGCUAGUUGGUGAGAUAACAGCUCACCAAGGCCACGAUGGGUAACCGGUCUGAGAGGGCGAACGGUCACACUGGAACUGAGACACGGUCCAGACUCCUACGGGAGGCAGCAGUGGGGAAUAUUGCGCAAUGGGGGCAACCCUGACGCAGCAAUACCGCGUGAGUGAAGGAGGUUUUCGGAUCGUAAAGCUCUGUUAUUGGGGAAGAAAAAAAGACGGUACCCAAGAAGAAAGUUCCGGCUAACUACGUGCCAGCAGCCGCGGUAAUACGUAGGGAACAAGCGUUGUCCGGAUUUACUGGGCGUAAAGGGCACGCAGGCGGUUUUUUAAGUCAGAUGUGAAAGGCCACAGCUCAACUGUGGACAUGCAUUUGAAACUGAAAGACUUGAGUAUUGGAGAGGCAAGUGGAAUUCCUAGUGUAGCGGUGAAAUGCGUAGAUAUUAGGAGGAACACCGGUGGCGAAGGCGGCUUGCUGGACAA
rnacentral:rRNA from 1 species